rnacentral:rRNA from 1 species
UACGGGGGGGGGCAAGCGUUGUUCGGAAUUACUGGGGCGUAAAGGGCUCGUAGGCGGCCAACUAAGUCAGACGUGAAAUCCCUCGGCUUAACCGGGGAACUGCGUCUGAUACUGGGAGGCUUGAGUGUGGAAGGGGCUACUGGAAUUCCGUGUGUAGCGGUGAAAUGCGUAGAUAUACGGAGGAACACCAGCGGCGAAGGCGGGUAGCUGGGCCAACACGUGACGCUGAUGACGCGGAAAGCUAGGGGAGCAAACGG